rnacentral:rRNA from 1 species
CCCCAGCGCCACAAGUGGCAAUCACAUUUAUUGGGCCUAAAGCGUCCGUAGCAGGUUUAUCAAAUCUUUUGUGAAACUGUUAAGCUUAACUUAACAAAUUGCAGGAGACACUUGUAAACUUGGGACCGGGAGGGGUCAGGAGUAUUUUGAGGGGAGCGGUAAAAUGUUAUAAUCCUCAAAAGACUACCGGUGGCGAAGGCGCCUGACCAGAACGGAUCCGACUGUGAGGGACGAAAGCUAGGGGA